rnacentral:sRNA from 1 species
AGCUGUUCCCCUCUGGAGGUUUAUACCUUCACAACUAAUGGGCCACGGUUUUCCGUCGGCCCACUUUUUUUGUCUGC